CAAGAUAUCAGAUAUUUCACGAAGAUAUCUGCAUAACAGCUACGAGGAAAUUGUGAUUUUAUCGUUUCACAAACAUCAACAGCUCCAUGGAUCGUUAUGGACGGAUAAAUCACAAUCACUAUCCUUUUUCUAGCAGCUGUUGAGCAGGUUUCUUCGUGAAUAUCUGGCAUUUUG